GUUGUUGGUCCUCUUUGGGGACUUCUGAUGGACGGCUGGAUUACCGUCGCCUGACCGCGCGGUACCGGAUUUAAUCUCGAGAAGCUGGUCUUAAGGUAUGNCCAGGCGCACGCUCGGUGUGUGCGCUUAAAGAAUGGACCAUACCGAACACGUCGAUGGCAUCUGAUUGGCGCGAUUGUAAAAGGUAAUCGCGCUUUGGACUGACCGUCUGGUCAGAUUUGGCACCCCUUCGAGCGCAAGCGAGAAGGCAAGGUUUGCCAAAUCCAAUAAGGAUGAGCAUUGGCAAUGAGAACGAUCAAGUGUCGUAAGGGCAUUUAGUGGAUGCCUAGGCAUGCACAGGCGAUGAAGGACGUGAUACCGCUGCGAAAAGCCGUGGAGCUG
rnacentral:misc_RNA from 1 species